GCACUCAAUUUGGCAGCACAUAUUCUACAAUUAGAAUGACAGAGAUUAGCAGCCUUGCCCUUGUGCAUGGAUGACAUGCAAAUUUAUGAAGUGUUCCAUAGUUUU
ensembl:snRNA U6 U6 spliceosomal RNA